rnacentral:rRNA from 1 species
ACGGGAGGCAGCAGUGGGGAAUAUUGCACAAUGGGGGGAACCCUGAUGCAGCAACGCCACGUGUGGGAAGAAGCAUUUCGGUGUGUAAACCACUGUCGUGAGGGAAUAAUGCUCGCUCUCGGUUAAGUUGAAUGUACCUCGAAAGGAAGCACCGGCAAACUUCGUGCCAGCAGCCGCGGUAAUACGGGGGGUGCAAGCGUUGUUCGGAAUCACUGGGCGUAAAGGGAGCGCAGGCGGAGAUGCAAGCAGUCUGUACAAUACCGGGGCCCAACCCCGGACCUGCAGACUGGACUGUUUCUCUUGGAUAGUUCAGGGGCAAGCGGAAUUCCUGGUGUAGCGGUGGAAUGCGUAGAGAUCAGGAAGAACACCGAUGGCGAAGGCAGCUUGCUGGGGACUUAUCGACGCUCAUGCUCGAAAGUGCAGGUAGCAAACAGG